UUGUGGUAUCAACAUCAUCAUCUGGGCUAGCGAUCUUGAGCAGAAGAUCCAUAUUUCGUACUCGUGAGGGAUCCUUUCCAAUAAGUGAUAUCAGAGCACAUGAUUAUCCAGAUUAUGACGAUGUUGAUGGAGGUUGAAGAAGAUGGAGAAGAUAUGCUCAAUGAAAGUGGAGAUCAAUCAGUGUGAUGGGAAGAAUAAUUUUUUUCUAUGGCAAGCAAGGGUGAAGGAUGUGCUCAUUCAACAAGGAUUGAUUGAUGCUCUCUUGUACGAAGAGAAGCUGACUAUCAUGGAGGAGAAGGAUUGAAGGUAGCUCCAGAUGCAGAUGGUAA
rnacentral:lncRNA from 1 species